rnacentral:sRNA from 12 species
GCUUUCAACAUCCCCGUCUCAGAGGUGAGAAGACGGUAUCGGCCCAUGCCGAUACCAGACGACCUUUGUGAGACUGAAGGC